UCGUCGUUCCAUAUCCAAAGAGCCUUCGAAUAUUUGUGGUAAACACAAAAGAAGAUGGCAAUCGCUUGGAUAUUGCUCUUUGCGACCAAACAGGUCCUAUUAAAAUGAUAUGCUACGACCAAAAGACUUUUGGUUAUGGAAAAACUAUUGUAAUCAGGAACUUUGAGAAAGGCUAUUCUUCAGCAUGUCUAUUAUUUAAACGCAAUUCAUAUGUUGCACCAGCACACAGUCUGUUAGUGCCCGAUGACAUUAAGCAACAGGCUGAGAAUCUGAUCAUGCCAAUGACAGCCCCGGUACUACACAUUAGUGAAAUUAAGAAAAUCGAUCCAGAGCACCGACAGCUAGUGAGUGUCCAGGGCACAGUAAUAAAUGACCAGGCCCCCAGGUCACUCAGAAAUAAUCAGCAAGUACGUGACAUCAGGUUGGAGCAAGAUAGCCAAGAAAUACAAGUGUCACUCUGGAACCAAAAGAGCCGGAGUCCAGUAAAAUGUAGACACAAUAAGAUGCACCAAUCUGAAUGUCAAGGAAAAUACAUUUCUUGGCGAGAUGUCACUAGGUAGCACGGCACAUAUACAACCGUUGAACUUCAAGGGAAGACACCAACGAUCCUUAACGGUAGUAUCAUCAGUGUUGGCAGCAAAGACGACACAAUGUACAAUGUCAUUGUGCAAAAAGUUGACGACCACACUCUGUUAGAUUUAAUAAUUUGCAAGACAAUAUUUAAUUUACAAUUCAAUGCAGUAAAUGAACAAAACAUAUUGGAAAAGACUGAGGAUAAAAUAUACCAGAUAAAGGUGUGCGGUACCGAAAUACAAGAGAUAGGCGAUGAAGGAACUCUAUCAAAACCUGAUGUGCCAACAGAAGUAGGCCAAGGAAAAGCAACUAAAGCUGCCCGUGCGUCAAAACCUAAAAAGAACCUGAACGUAGAACUAAACAAAAUGAUAUAACAUUUUUUUUGAACAUACACAUUUUUUAUAGACUUUACUAAAAUUCAAUAAUUUAGAGUAACUGUUUUAUGAUAUACUGUACCUUUAAUUAUUAUUGUGUUAACAUUAUAAAUUUUGUCUUACAUUCGUUAAUUUUCAUUGUCAUUUCACAAAUACUGUGGUAUUGAAUUUAUAACUGUGUUAAUACUAAGAGGUGUUUUUAUUGUUUGUAGUACUUAUUAUAGAUAGCAUUCUCCCUUUACUCUUAUAAAUAGUUAUUAUAAUGUACUGUUCCUUUAAUGAAUACUGUGAUAACAUUUGAAAAAUUUUGAAAUAAAUUCAUCUGGUUCCAAAAUAAAAUCUUUUUUUUUACCUGUACUUCUUUUUGUUGAACCAAAAAACUUGUUUAAAAGAUGCAUUGGCAUAAGGUGGGGUCUUUAUGGUGUUCAGGUAUUGAGGAUCAAAGAUCAUUAAAGGAUUAUUCUUUUGUUCUAUCCUGGUAACAUUUAAAAGUGAAACUAAUGGCAAACAAUUGGAACAAAUUUAUUCAAAUUUGGUCAUUAAGAACCGGUGGCAUUUCCUACACCCCAGGGGUCAUUGGGGUAAAAUUUCAAAAUAUCCCUAUUAGCCUAAAAUUUACCAGGAAUGAUCCUUAGGGCCUUUUAAACAUGAAAAAAAAUACUCUUUAUUCCUUAGGUCAAAGUACAUUGGUCAACGGUUCAAAAUGCCUAUAAAGGCAUAAGGCAGAGUCUAUAGGGUGUUCAGGGAUAAGGGUCAAAGGUCAUUAAGCAGUAAUUUUUAUCUUUUUUCUGGCAACAUUUCAAAACGCCAGUGCCAAACGGUUGUACCGAUUUCAACCAAACCUGGUCAGUAUAAUCGGUGACACCUCUCAUACAUGGGGGUGUUCGCUGCUUGUGGUCAAAUUUCACAUAGGGGUCAUUAGGGUAAAAAAAACUUUCAAUUCAGAGCACAAUCGCUGCUAUUCGUAGCUUCACGAACCCUUUCUGCAUAGUUGACAAAGACCACCUCUACAAUGUGUCCUCGGGAGCUCCAGUUUCCUCCGAGGUAGGUAGAACUUGGUGUGCUCCUUGCUGAAGCAGUUGGAUAGGAUGCUAAGGAAGCGUUCCUCCAAGAUUGCUUUGUGAAUGGUUCCGAGGCACUUUUUUUUAACCUAUAAAGAGGAAGAAACCAAGAACGAUGGAUGCUUCCAACAAGACAGUUAAGCUCACUGUGUCUCAAGGAAAGGUCUGUUAAGCCCCUCUCCCACUAGGGGUUUUUUCAGCAUACGAGUUACAAGAGAAUGCCGAGUUGCUAACUCGGCAAACUCGGCAAAAACUCGUAGGACGAUUCGGAAAGCUCGGAGAGGACUCUUACCUACUCGUAGCAGCUCUGAACUCGUGGCGCUAAUUUUGAACAUGUUCAAAAUUAUCGCCACGAGUAGAUAACUCGUAGUAAACUCGAAGAACUUGUUGGUAGCUCGUAAAAUACCCGGGCUACUCCUACCUAGCUCGUACACUACUCUGGAUACUC